rnacentral:rRNA from 1 species
UUCGGGUUGUAAAGCACUUUCAGUCGUGAGGAAGGCGGGUACGGUUAAUAGCGGCGUGUUUGACGUUAGCGACAGAAGAAGCACCGGCUAACUCCGUGCCAGCAGCCGCGGUAAUACGGAGGGUGCGAGCGUUAAUCGGAAUUACUGGGCGUAAAGCGCAUGCAGGUGGUUUGUUAAGUCAGAUGUGAAAGACCCGGGGCGUUAACCUCGGAAUAGCAUUUGAAACUAGGCAGACUAGAGUACUGUAGAGGGGGGUAGGAAUUUCAGGUGUAGCGGUGAAAUAGCGUAGAGAUCUGAAGGAAUACCGGUGGCGAAGGCGGCCCCCUCGGACAGAUACUGACACUCAGAUGCGAAAGCGUGGGGAGCAAACAGGAUUAGAUACCCUGGUAG